rnacentral:rRNA from 1 species
GACGAACGCUGGCGGCGUGCUUAACACAUGCAAGUCGAACGCUGAAGCUUGGUGCUUGCACUGGGUGGAUGAGUGGCGAACGGGUGAGUAAUACGUGAGUAACCUGCCCUUGACUCUGGGAUAAGCCUGGGAAACUGGGUCCAAUACUGGAUACGACAUGUCACCGCAUGGUGGUGUGUGGAAAGGGUUUUACUGGUUUUGGAUGGGCUCACGGCCUAUCAGCUUGUUGGUGGGGUAAUGGCUCACCAAGGCGACGACGGGUAGCCGGCCUGAGAGGGUGACCGGCCACACUGGGACUGAGACACGGCCCAGACUCCUACGGGAGGCAGCAGUGGGGAAUAUUGCACAAUGGGCGGAAGCCUGAUGCAGCGACGCCGCGUGAGGGAUGACGGCCUUCGGGUUGUAAACCUCUUUCAGCACGGAAGAAGCGAAAGUGACGGUACGUGCAGAAGAAGCGCCGGCUAACUACGUG